UGGGGAAUAUUGCACAAUGGGCGCAAGCCUGAUGCAGCAACGCCUCGUGAACGAUGAAGGUCUUCGGAUCGUAAAGUUCUGUUGCAGGGGAAGAUAAUGACGGUACCCUGUGAGGAAGCCCCGGCUAACUACGUGCCAGCAGCCGCGGUAAUACGUAGGGGGCUAGCGUUAUCCGGAAUCACUGGGCGUAAAGGGUUCGCAGGCGGAAAUGCAAGUCAGGUGUAAAAGGCAGUAGCUUAACUACUGUAAGCAUUUGAAACUGCAUAUCUUGAGAAGAGUAGAGGUAAGUGGAAUUUUUAGUGUAGCGGUGAAAUGCGUAGAUAUUAAAAAGAAUACCGGUGGCGAAGGCGACUUACUGAGCUCAUUCUGACGCUGAGGAACGAAAGCGUGGGUAGCAAACAGG
rnacentral:rRNA from 1 species